GGAAACUGUCUUCACUUUCCAGGUGACAGAAAGGAGUGAGUGUCAGCCAUCCCCAGAGCUGGACCAGCACAGAAACAAGGAUCUGCUGUGUGGCUUUCAACAUCCUCAAAGGCAUCUAAUUGUUCAGGACACAGUGAGUAUCUGCACUGAGAGAAAUCAAGGCUGGAGUGGAGCUCCCCUGAAAGCCAGGCACUGGGAAGCCAAGAUUGGUUUUCAGAAAGUCUUACAAGAAAGAAGAAGCAGGCACACACAGGAGCCAGGCCAGCCCUUGCAGAGCUGGUGCACCCAGGCUUUGCUAAGCCAAUUAAGCAAUGGAAUAAAGGCCACAACUGAAAUGGACUCAACAGAUCAGUGAAAUCAAAUGCUGAAAAUUAAUAUACUAGGAAAUUAGAUCAGAAUUAUGAAGCUGAGACUGAAUUUGAUUUGUUAGUCUGGGCUGGGGAUAUUUACAGGAAGCAGCUCUUUUCUUUGCAGUCUGAAGGAUGUUUGUGUCCGUCAGGUGUGAGGUUUGUGCUGGUUCUUCCCAAAAGAGACCCUCUAAACAAAGGGUGAUCCUCACCUGUUCCACUUAAGGAGGAGGUGCAGCCACCACAGUGCUGUCAGCAGCUCUGCUUCGUUCUUUUCCACCUUAAAUCUCCCUGUUGUAACACGUUCCUAGCUUGCUGCUCUGAUUUUCCCUUUCUAACACAGAGAAUCUUUCCGUAGAAGUGACACAGGUGACAGCCGUAUCAAGCAGUAACAGCUUUGGGGGAAAAAAAAUAAUAAAUCCAGAAGAAUCUUCCUAAUUAUAUGCAACAUUUACAGAGUUGGGUGUUUACUUUUAGGGACCUGUAUGUAGUGCUGUUUCUCCAUUAUAGAGUGCAAGUAUGCAAGUGUGUCUUUGAGAUAAGGCAGUAUCAUCCUGGCAUAAUGGAAAGGAAAUGAAAAGAAAGAGUUCAAAAUGCUUUAUAUUUUAGGAUCUUCACUUGUGGUGUUGACAGCAGCUGCAACAAAGAUUCAGGUUAAAGACAACUUAAAAUUCAUGUUGAACAUCUCCGUGGCAUUAGCACAGCCAGUAAUGUCUUUUACCUCUGUCCCUGUGGAUUGCACAGCCACCAGAAGGAAAAGCUUUUUGUCCAGAAGAUGUCCACGCUGCCUGGGAAUGGAUGCACUUCUUCCCUUCAGGAUGCUCACUCCCUUCAGAGUCCUGCUCGUGGUGAUUAGAGCUGGAGGAUGAUGUUCCCAUGGAAGCCUUGGGCCAGGAGGUCACCAGGAGCAGAAGUUUCUUAAAUAUCACAGUCAUGCAAUGUCUGCCAGUCUCACUGCAGGCUGCUUGUCAGAGGAGCAGAGAUGUGGAGAGCAGGCUGUGGAACUCAUCCUUGUCUGUGGAAACUCAUCCUUGUUUUGCAGCUUAAUGAAAAACAUUAAGUGGACAGUGCAAUAAAAUACAUAAAAAAUAAA